rnacentral:rRNA from 1 species
AAAGAACUUUGAAAAGAGAGUUAAACAGUACGUGAAAUUGUUGAAAGGGAAACGAUUGAAGUCAGUCAUACCAACGGGAAAUCAACCUUUUGAGUCUGUCCUCGUGGGUUUCGAGGAGUUUAAAAGCCUUCGGAUUUUCUAGGAUUGGGCUCUUUUGGUGUACUUUCUCGUACGGUUAGUCAACAUCGGUUUUGAAUGUCAUAAAAUGACCGGAGGAAUGUGGC